GGGUUGUGAGGUUAAGCGACUAAGCGUACACGGUGGAUGCCCUGGCAGUCAGAGGCGAUGAAGGGCGUGCUAAUCUGCGAUAAGCGCCGGUAAGGUGAUAUGAACCGUUAUAACCGGCGAUACCCGAAUGGGGAAACCCAGUGUGAUUCGUCACACUAUCAUUAACUGAAUCCAUAGGUUAAUGAGGCGAACCGGGGGAACUGAAACAUCUAAGUACCCCGAGGAAAAGAAAUCAACCGAGAUUCCCCCAGUAGCGGCGAGCGAACGGGGAGGAGCCCAGAGCCUGAAUCAGCAUGUGUGUUAGUGGAAGCGUCUGGAAAGGCGCGCGAUACAGGGUGACAGCCCCGUACACAAAAGCGUAUGUGCUGUGAGCUCGAUGAGUAGGGCGGGACACGUGGUAUCCUGUCUGAAUAUGGGGGGACCAUCCUCCAAGGCUAAAUACUCCUGACUGACCGAUAGUGAACCAGUACCGUGAGGGAAAGGCGAAAAGAACCCCGGCGAGGGGAGUGAAAAAGAACCUGAAACCGUGUACGUACAAGCAGUGGGAGCACCCUUUGGGGUGUGACUGCGUACCUUUUGU
rnacentral:rRNA from 1 species